CCUACGGGAGGCAGCAGCAGGGAAUAUUGCGCAAUGAGCGAAAGCUUGACGCAGCGACACCGCGUGUGGGAUGACGGAUCUAGGUUUGUAAACCACUUUCAGGAGGGAAGAAAAUGACGGUACCUCCACAAGAAGCCCCGGCCAACUACGUGCCAGCAGCCGCGGUAAUACGUAGGGGGCGAGCGUUGUCCGGAUUUAUUGGGCGUAAAGAGCUCGUAGGCGGUUCAACAAGUCGGUCGUGAAAGUUCAGGGCUCAACCCUGAAAUGUCGACCGAUACUGUUGUGACUAGGAUACGGUAGAGGUGAGUGGAAUUCCGAGUGUAGCGGUGAAAUGCGUAGAUAUUCGGAGGAACACCAAUAGCGAAGGCAGCUCACUGGGCCGCUAUCGACGCUGAGGAGCGAAAGCUAGGGGAGCAAACAGGAUUAGAUACCCUGGUAGUCCUAGCUGUAAACGAUGGAUACUAGACGUAGGAACUGGAUUGACGGUUUCUGUGUCGCAGCUAACGCGUUAAGUAUCCCGCCUGGGGAGUACGGUCGCAAGACUAAAACUCAAAGGAAUUGACGG
rnacentral:rRNA from 1 species